GAAAAAUUCACAAUUUGUUUGAUUAAUAAUCUCAUUUUUUUGGUUAGCAAUCUUUCAAUUUUAGAAAAAUGCCUUCAAAGAAGAAGAAUCAGAAGUCAGCAUCAAGGCUUUCACAGUCAGAACUUAGUAAUACUUCAUCGGAUGUGGAAUUUACUGAAGGGGAGCUUAAGUGUUGUCUUGAAGAAGCUUCGAGAAAGUUCCCUUCUUUGAUUUCUGAAACAGAUUUUAUUGGUCGAAUAUCAGAAGAUGCUGUGGAGACUGUGGAUACCAAAGGCUGUAAAAUUUGGCUUUCGGAGUCUUCCAUGCUUGCUUCUUCUAUUUCUCCUGGCUCCAUUGUAUCGGUAUCCCUUGCUUCUUUGAAGAAAUAUGAAAGUAAC
rnacentral:misc_RNA from 1 species